CCUGUUAUCGUCUAGUGGUUAGGACACCAGGUUCUGAUCCUGGGAACCCCGGUUCAAACCCGGGUAACAGGU
rnacentral:tRNA from 1 species